UCGUAACAAGGUUUCCGUAGGUGAACCUGCGGAAGGAUCAUUAUUGUAUAAUAUCCUUACCGUUAAUAAAUAUUUGUAAUUAUACAAAUAAAAACAAUUUACCAAAAUAAAAAUAUAACAAAAUGAUUCCAUGGAAUCAAAAGUUAAAAUCAAAAUAAAACGAAGAUGGGUUUUAUUUAUAUAGUUAGUGUGGGGCUUGGCAACCUCAUAAAAAGAUUUUAACAUUUCUAAUGUAUGUUGUGCGUAUUUGUGGCGAGUACUUACAACAACGGCGUUUCCUAUAAAAAUAAUGUUUCGAACAUGAAAAUCGAAGAAACAAAAUUCGAAAGUGGAAGUCGAAUCAAAAUAAAAUAAUUUCGAAUGUGUGGUAAUCAUCGAAAUAAGUGUUAAUAUAAUUGGUAGAUAUUAACUAAUUUUUAAAAUUUGUGUGUAUUUAUUACUAUACACGCGUUGCGAAUAUGUAUUGUUCAUCUUAGUUAUGGGCAUACGUUGGC
rnacentral:rRNA from 1 species